ensembl:lncRNA
UGUUAGUCCAUUUAAAAAACUGGUUGCUUUUCCUCGACAUUUUGCUGCGACGUUUCAAAGAGCCGGAAAGUAAAUAAACGGCAGACAGAAAUGAGGCAGGUCGAAUCGUCUUGCGUUUCACGCAUGCGCAGUGCUGGAACGUAAGCGUUUUCGGCCGUUUCAAUGUGGACGCACAACUCUGUGAAAACGACUGAAAACGAUAGUGUGGACACGGAGCGUUUUCAGACAAAAACGCCGUUUUCAAAUUUAUCCGGGCUAGUGUGGACGUAAGAUCACAGGCUGUUCUAUUGACAUCACCAGUCCUCACACUUCAAAGCACAAAGCGUGUAAUGUCAUAGUAACGCAUUCUGCGAUAGGAGGUCAUAUAUAGGAGUGAACCUGACAUUCAUACAGCGUGAACUGGCUGCCUGCCCUCACGUCUGCAGUGCUGCCGUCUCCUGUAACCCUGCAUAUUACCAAGUUGCCUUUCCCCACCUGUAUCCAGUCAUCACACUUCAAAGCACAAAGCGUGUGAUGUCACAGUAACGCAUUCUGUGAUAGGAGGUCAUAUAUAGGAGUGAACCUGACACUCACACAGCCUGAACUGGCUGCCUGUCCUCACGUCUGCAGUGCUGCCAUCUCCUGUAACCCUGCAUGUUUCUAAGUUGCAUAUCCCCACCUGUAUAGGAGUGAAAUUGACGCUCACACACCCUGAACUGGCUACCUGUCCUCACCUGUGCAGUGCUACCGUCUCCUGUCACCCUGCAUAUGCGGUUUGAAGUGUCUGUGUGGUGCAGCUGGCCUGGUCUGUCUCUAUACAGUCGAGGCUGCACCCACCUAUAAAAAGGUGGAGGCUCACCAAGACAUGCACACCUCACAAGUUCCUGGCUCUCUCGGCUCGGUUGAAGACGGGUUUCUUCGAGAAGGGGAGGGCAGUGAGGCACAGUCCCCCGCCCCCCGACGCCCCUCGCGAUGCCCCUCCUUCUUCGACUAACCCGCUGCAGAGGAGCCGUGGGAGCCAGGAACUUGUGAGUUUUGUAUGUCCACUCAGGCAUCAUUCAUACCUGGUCUGUAGGAAGUUCCUGUCAGAAGG